UACGUAGGGUGCAAGCGUUAAUCGGAAUUACUGGGCGUAAAGCGUGCGCAGGCGGUGAUGUAAGACAGGUGUGAAAUCCCCGGGCUUAACCUGGGAACUGCAUUUGUGACUGCAUCGCUGGAGUGCGGCAGAGGGGGAUGGAAUUCCGCGUGUAGCAGUGAAAUGCGUAGAUAUGCGGAGGAACACCAAUGGCGAAGGCAGCCUUCUGGGCCAACACUGACGCUCAUGCACGAAAGCGUGGGGAGCAAACAGG
rnacentral:rRNA from 1 species